GACGAAGGCUUGGGCUCCCCGCGCGGUGACCGUCGAGGUGACCUGCACCUGGCUCCAUGGCGGAACCGGCCGGCACGGAUUAUUCCCCUCUCGGGAGAGGUCUGCAGCCGGGCCUCAGUGCUUCAGUUCGUGGCCUGGCAUUUUGUGUCAGUGUUUUUUAACCUUUGGACCCUAGUUCAACCGACUCCGAGACCUAGGGGACAGAUCUUAAGUUUUACAAUAACCCAGGGGUCAGACAGGGUCUGAUCUAGCCUGUGGGGCAAGUACGGGGAAGACACGGGACCUCUUGGAGGGGGUCAGUAGGCUUGUAGGGGGAAAGACGCACACAGAGACUAAAGGACGAGAUGGAGCAAGGUUCAACCCCCUAGCUGAGUGUUGGCAGUGUCGGGAUUUUAACGAAGACAUUGGUGCUUAUUAUGGUGAGGGGACUCAGGACAGUUUAGGGGAAGAGAGUGGCAUUUGAGUCCUAACUCGUAAGGAAGACUGGGUAGGACUACUUGAAAAUAACUUUUAAAAAUUAAUUAUAAAGCUGGUAAAAAUAGGAAAACAUCUAUGGCCCCACUGUCCAAAGACGACUUUUAACUUCUUGGAGAAUAUCCUUUCAGAUAGUUGUCUUUGUAAAUGUAUACUUUUAAUGUUUUUUCGUUUGCCUUUUUAAAAUAAAUUUUUUGGGGGACAGGGUCUUGCUCUGUUACCCAGGCUGUAGUGCAGUAGAACGAUUAUAGCUCAUUGCAACCCGGACGUCCUGGGUUCAAGCUAUCCUCACCUCUCAGCCUCUCGACUGGCUAGGACCACAGCCUCGAGCCAUCAUGUCUGGCUAAUUUUUACGUUUUUUUGUAGAGAUGGGGGUCUCGCUGUGUUGUCCAGGCUGGUCUUAAACUCCUUGCUUCAACAGAUCCUCCCACUCCAGCCUCCCAAAAUGUGAUUACAGGCUGAGUCACCACGCCUAGCAUGGUUUUUUUUGUUUUGUUUGUUUUGUAAGCAAAAUUGACAUACAUACUGGAGGUACAAUUCUGUAGCUGGCCUUCUUUACAGAGUUUAGAAUAAAUGUCUUUCCAUGUCAAGUUUUCACUUACAUCCUUUGUAGUAGUUGCAAAAUAUUCCAUUUUAUAGCUGUAUCUUAAUUGUGGAUUAAGGUUGGAGUGCAGUGGCACUAUCAUGGCUUAGUCCAGCCUCAGCCUUCUAGGUUCAAGCGAUCUUCCCACCUCAGCCUCCCAAGAAGCUGGGACUACAGGGACCCGCCACCCCACCUAGCUAAUUAAAAAAAAAAUUGUAGAGAUGGAGUCUCAGUGUGUAGCCCAGUCUCAAGUGACCCUCCCUCGUUGGCUUCCCAAAGCGCUGAGAUUGCAGGAAGAGUGUCUUCAUCUCUGCAUCCCUAGUGCAACAGAGCAUGACAAAAAUUCAACAAAUAUUUAUUGAAGAGUCUUGAUGUCUUUUGGGAAAGGAACUCUAUGGUUACCUUUACUCUAAGAUUAGAUGGGUGUUACUGAUUCUUACCUCAGAGAAGAGAAUGUCAUGGAGACAAAAUGACCUGCUUAGAGUUCUGCACCCCCCAGCAUGGAGAGCAGAGCGCAAAGAUUUCUUCCGGACUCCCACAUUCCCCUUGGAAUCCAAGAACUGGUCUACUGUCACAACACUUUAGUACCCUCUUCUCCCAAGGAGGCAGCAGAAACUGGGGUAAUCACAACGGUCAACAGCAGCAAAGGCAGCACUUUCUGAUUUACUUGACUGCUAUGGAUGCCACCUCUCUCCACGCCUCAGUUUAAUAUCUGACCUGAAAGCCUCUGAAGUUCACUCCUUCGGCCCCACUCCCUUCCUGCUGCCUUUGGGCUCUCCUCAUGUGACUCUGCCUGUUGAAACUGUCUGCUAGCUGGCCCAGCAUCUCCAGGCAUGGCCUCACUCAUCCACCUCUCCCUUGCUGAAGGUCUCCUCAUGUAACACACGAUUCCUUUAGAUGGUCCUUCAUCACCAGCAAGAUGAAACCUAAAUUCAUUGGCAUGGUAGACAAAACUCUAGCCUUGCCUCCCAGAGGCCAGUCUCUGUCUCCGCCACUCCCCAGGUGGACUGCAUUGUGUUUCUGCUGCCAUAAACAUAAUUUAUUCUGACUGGAACAUCUUCUGUGCAUGUCUGCAGAGUGCACUUCACUCCCCCUGCAGUUCAAGCAUCCUUCCUCCACAAAGCCUUUUCUUUUGAUCACUGCAGGACCUGUAAAAGCUAUCCUGGGAUAGCCUGUAUUUACUGGACUGAAAUGAUCUGUUUGCCUAUCAAUUUCCCCAAAUGAUAUAUGGCAAGGAGUAGUUGAAUCUAAGAGCAGAUCUCAAAGCCUAUGUCCUUUCCAUUGCCUUGUACCCUGCUCCCCUCAAGAAUACCUAUUUUUUGGGGUUGGUGGGAGGAUCAUGUGAGAUAAUGCAUGGGCAG
ensembl:lncRNA LAMTOR5-AS1 LAMTOR5 and SLC16A4 antisense RNA 1